AUUGAACGCUGGCGGCAGGCCUAACACAUGCAAGUCGAGCGGAUGAGUGGAGCUUGCUCCAUGAUUCAGCGGCGGACGGGUGAGUAAUGCCUAGGAAUCUGCCUGGUAGUGGGGGACAACGUUUCGAAAGGAACGCUAAUACCGCAUACGUCCUACGGGAGAAAGUGGGGGAUCUUCGGACCUCACGCUAUCAGAUGAGCCUAGGUCGGAUUAGCUAGUUGGUGGGGUAAAGGCUCACCAAGGAGACGAUCCGUAACUGGUCUGAGAGGAUGAUCAGUCACACUGGAACUGAGACACGGUCCAGACUCCUACGGGAGGCAGCAGUGGGGAAUAUUGGACAAUGGGCGAAAGCCUGAUCCAGCCAUGCCGCGUGUGUGAAGAAGGUCUUCGGAUUGUAAAGCACUUUAAGUUGGGAGGAAGGGCAGUAAGUUAAUACCUUGCUGUUUUGACGUUACCAACAGAAUAAGCACCGGCUAACUUCGUGCCAGCAGCCGCAGUAA
rnacentral:rRNA from 1 species